rnacentral:rRNA from 1 species
GACGAACGCUGGCGGCGUGCUUAACACAUGCAAGUGGAGCGACGAACCAGGCUUCGGCCUGGGGCAAAGCCGCGAACGGGUGAGUAACACGUGGGUAACCUGCCCCGAUGACUGGGACAACCCGAGGAAACUCGGGCUAAUACCGGAUGUACUUACAUCACACAAGUGAUGCAAGCAAAGAUAGCUUCGGCCUUCGCAUCGGGAUGGGCCCGCGGCCCAUUAGCUUGUUGGNGGGUAACGGCCUACCAAGGCAACGAUGGUAGCUGGUCUGAGAGGACGAUCAGCCACACUGGGACUGAGACACGGCCCAGACUCCUACGGGAGGCAGCAGUGGGGAAUCUUGCGCAAUGCGCGAAAGCGUGACGCAGCAACGCCG